rnacentral:rRNA from 1 species
CCUACGGGAGGCUGCAGUGGGGAAUAUUGGGCAAUGGGCGCAAGCCUGACCCAGCAAUGCCGCGUGAAGGAAGAAGGCUUUCGGGUUGUAAACUUCUUUGACAGGGGAAGAGCAGAAGACGGUACCCUGAAAACAAGCCACGGCUAACUACGUGCCAGCAGCCGCGGUAAUACGUAGGUGGCAAGCGUUUUCCGGAGUUACUGGGUGUAAAGGGCGUGUAGCCGGGAAGGCAAGUCAGAUGUGAAAUCUGGAGGCUCAACCUCCAAAUUGCAUUUGAAACUGUUUUUCUUGAGUACUGGAGAGGCAGACGGAAUUCCUUGUGUAGCGGUGAAAUGCGUAGAGAUAAGGAGGAACACCAGUGGCGAAGGCGGUCUGCUGGACAGCAACUGACGGUGAGGCGCGAAAGCGUGGGGAGCAAACAGGAUUAGAUACCCUAGUAGUC